AUACGGAGGGGGCUAGCGUUGUUCGGAAUUACUGGGCGUAAAGCGCGCGUAGGCGGAUUGAUCAGUCAGGGGUGAAAUCCCGAGGCUUAACCUCGGAACUGCCUCUGAUACUGUCAAUCUUGAGUUCGAGAGAGGUGAGUGGAAUUCCUAGUGUAGAGGUGAAAUUCGUAGAUAUUAGGAAGAACACCAGUGGCGAAGGCGGCUCACUGGCUCGAUACUGACGCUGAGGUGCAAAAGCGUGGGGAGCAAACAGGAUUAGAAACCCUAGUAGUCC
rnacentral:rRNA from 1 species